AAUAGCCUAACGGCUGAACCAGCAACUUGAUUGAAUGUAUAGCGAAAGCUAAUUGUAUUAAAAAUACAAUACCGAAGUAUUCGGCUAAAAUUCUGAAUAGGUUUUUAUAAUGACAUUACCUAUUCAUAUGUCUUGACCAAACUUUGUGCCAGCAGUCGCGGCAAUACAAUAAAGACUAGUGUUAUUCAUGUUUAGUCGGUUUAAAAGGUAACUAGACGGUAAACCAAGCCUUAAAUUUAAGAUUUGAAAACUUAUAUUUUAAUAAAAAUUUAGUGUUUCAAACAUAGCAUUCUAUAUGAAAUACGAGCUAACAAAGUUUAAUAUUUUUUAUACAUAUAAUGUUUUAUUAUCUUAGGGGACUAGUUUACUAGAGUUUAAUAUGUGGGAGCAUUAAAGUACUGAUAGGUGUAGAGAUGAAAUUCGUUGAUACCAUAUAUGGCACAGGUUUAGGCGAAAGCAUCUCCUUAUGUAAAAACUGACGUUCAGGUACGAAGGCUUUGUGCAGCAAACAGGAUUAGAUACCCUGGUAGUCUUAGCAGAAAAUGAUGAAUGUCAUAGGAUAGACCAUAUUUAUUCUAUAAAUGAAAGUGUAAGCAUUCUACCUCAUGAGUAAUUUGGCAACAUCGGAAUUGAAAUCAUUAGACCGUUUCUGAUAUCAGCAGUGAAGUAUGUUGUUUAAUUUGAUGAUCCGCAAAAAACCUCACCACAUUUUGAAUAUUGCUUUAAAUUUAAUAAUUUAAUAAAGUAUUACAAGCGUUGCAUGGUUGUCUUCAGUUUAUGUCGUGAGACUUUGGUUAACUCCAAUUAAUAAACGUAAACCCUUAUUUUAUUUAUUAAUAAAUUAGAUCCCCUUUAGAUUGGAUAUGAUACAAGGGACUAAGACAAAUCAUCAUGGCCUAAAUAGUGUGGGCUAUAGACGUGCUGCAUGUGCCAUACAAAGGGAUGCAAAAUUGUGAAAUUAAGCUAAUCCCCUAAAAUUGGAUAAAUGUUAAAU
rnacentral:rRNA from 1 species